rnacentral:rRNA from 1 species
AUUGAACGCUGGCGGUAUGCCUAACACAUGCAAGUCGAACGGUAACAGAGAGAAGCUUGCUUCUUUGCUGACGAGUGGCGGACGGGUGAGUAACGCGUGGGAAUCUACCUUAUAGUUGGGGAUAGCCCGGAGAAAUCCGGAUUAAUACCGAAUACGAUCUACGGAUGAAAAGGUGCCUCUGCUUGCAAGCACUUGCUAUGAGAUGAGCCCGCGUUAGAUUAGUUUGUUGGUGGGGUAAUGGCCUACCAAGACUGCGAUCUAUAGCUGGUUUGAGAGGAUGAUCAGCCACAUUGGACUGAGACACGGCCCAGACUCCUACGGGAGGCAGCAGUGGGGAAUAUUGGACAAUGGGCGCAAGCCUGAUCCAGCAAUACCGCGUGUGUGAAGAAGGCCUUUCGGGUUUGUAAAAGCACUUUUAUGUGGGAAGAAGGUGUGUGUGUUAAUAGCACAUGCAAUUGACGGUA